rnacentral:rRNA from 1 species
GAUGAACGCUGGCGGCGUGCCUAAUACAUGCAAGUCGAGCGAACAGAGGAGGAGCUUGCUCCUCUGACGUUAGCGGUGGACGGGUGAGUAACACGUGGAUAACCUACCUAUAAGACUAGGAUAACUUCGGGAAACCGGAGCUAAUACCGGAUAACAUGUUGAACCGCAUGGUUCAACAGUGAAAGACGGUCUUGCUGUCACUUAUAGAUGGAUCCGCGCCGCAUUAGCUAGUUGGUAAGGUAACGGCUUACCAAGGCAACGAUGCGUAGCCGACCUGAGAGGGUGAUCGGCCACACUGGAACUGAGACACGGUCCAGACUCCUACGGGAGGCAGCAGUAGGGAAUCUUCCGCAAUGGGCGAAAGCCUGACGGAGCAACGCCGCGUGAGUGAAGAAGGUCUUCGGAUCGUAAAACUCUGUUAUUAGGGAAGAACAAAUGUGUAAGUAACUAUGCACGUCUUGACAGUACCUAAUCAGAAAGCCACGGCUAACUACGUGCCAGCAGCCGCAGUAA